GCCAGUGUGGCAUAGUGGUUUAGGUGCUGGACUAUGACUCUAGAGACCAGGGUUCAUUUCCCAGCUCAGCCA